UACGUAGGGCUCAAGCGUUGUCCGGAAUUAUUGGGCGUAAAGAGCUCGUAGGCGGCUUGUCACGUCGGGUGUGAAAGCCCGGGGCUUAACCCCGGGUCUGCAUCCGAUACGGGCAGGCUAGAGUGUGGUAGGGGAGAUCGGAAUUCCUGGUGUAGCGGUGAAAUGCGCAGAUAUCAGGAGGAACACCGGUGGCGAAGGCGGAUCUCUGGGCCAUUACUGACGCUGAGGAGCGAAAGCGUGGGGAGCGAACAGG
rnacentral:rRNA from 1 species